UACAGAGGUCCCGAGCGUUGUUCGGAUUCACUGGGCGUAAAGGGUGCGUAGGUGGCGAUGAAAGUUCGAUCGUGAAAUCUCCGGGCUUAACCCGGAAAAGGCAUUGAAAACUAUGUUGCUUGAGGUUUGGAGGGGGGACUGGAAUUCUUGGUGUAGCAGUGAAAUGCGUAGAUAUCAGGAGGAACACCGGUGGCGAAGGCGGGUCUCUGGGCCGAUACUGACGUGGAGGAGCGAAAGCGUGGGGAGCGAACAGG
rnacentral:rRNA from 1 species